UUGAUAGGUCGAAGGUGUAAGUGCAGCAAUGUAUUUAGCUUAUCGAUACUAAUAGGUCGAGGACUUGACCAAA
rnacentral:rRNA from 1 species